rnacentral:rRNA from 1 species
UACAGAGGGUGCAAGCGUUAAUCGGAAUUACUGGGCGUAAAGCGCGCGUAGGUGGUUCGUUAAGUUGGAUGUGAAAUCCCCCGGGCUCAACCUGGGAACUGCAUUCAAAAACUGACGAGCUAGAGUAUGGUAGAGGGGUGGUGGAAUUUCCUGUGUAGCGGUGAAAAUGCGUAGAUAUAGGAAGGAACACCAGUGGCGAAGGCGACCACCUGGACUGAUACUGACACUGAGGUGCGAAAGCGUGGGGAGCAAACAGG